GUGUGCGUGUGUGUGUUUCAGCAUGGAGUCAAACCAAUUAUGGCAUUCUCAAAGGGACUUUAGUAUUCAGCUAGAAAGAGACGAGGAACAGUAUGAAGAUCUUGUUCUUCGCCCAAGCCGGCACCUGUUCAUGCACAAGAUGAAGAGUGGGGUGUACUUGUGCCAGCGUUGGCUCAAAGGAAGGAGCAUAUACUGCUGUUCCAAACUACUGCCAUCCAGGGGGAAGUCACGCUACAUAUUCAUGGGCUACCUUCUUAUGCUUCAUGUGCUGGUUUUCGUGUGCCUCAGUUGGUCCCUUUAGAAAACAGUUGUCAUCGAAAUCACAUUUGCACAAAUAGAAGAUCCGCAAAAAACUGGUGUGGGCAGUGUAAGAGAAAGGCCCACAGUUCAGGCGCUUCCACUUAUUGUGAUGCAUCAAAUAAUCAGUGUAGGAGCUUCAAUUUAGCUGCUCACUCAAAUAGUGUAAA